ACUAAUCUCUAAAGAUCAAAUUCAAAUUAAUUAACCUUACCAUAAAUCAUUUAGUCACAUUAAUUAAUAUUUCCAUACAUCAACAAAUCUUUAUUCCUAAUUGUGGACCUCAUAGUCUACGUUUUAGGGUCUUUUCCGUCGGACUUAUUUUCAUCCCACCACCAAUUGUUACUGAAAACCACCCCCUGAGAAUCCCGAGCUAGAUUCAUACGGUUCUCCCAUCACCGCUCUCUCACCUUAAACCGCCUCCCAUGUUCCUUCACCUUGAAACUGCAGCCCACAUCACCCCAUUCCCAAUCUCCGUCGAGCCCUCCUCCCGUGCACCCAUCUCGAUCUAGAUCCGGAGGAGGGUCGCCUCCCACCCAGUCAUCGUGCCUGGGUCUCCUUUCUCUCCCUCAGCGGCCACAGUAGACGCAUGUGGCUAGAUGGAUUGAGGGAGCUGGGUCGGUGCACUCAAGGCAUACAUGGCCGGAGGUCGACGACGAGCAAGGGUACACGUUGGUGGCGGCCUGAGUGGACCCUGCAUCUUUAUCGCCGAACUCAUAUCACGUAUCUCACUGAGCCUGAACAAUACAACUGAAUGGCACAGCGACGGCAGGUGGUUGUUGUGGCAGAACCAGCCAUCUUUCCCAGCCAGGCUGACCAGGCAGGUUCCAGCCAGGCAUCUGUCGGUAGCGUGCAUAAAUGUAUCAGUAAUGGACCGGUCGUUCGACAGUUGUAAUGUAAGGUAUCGACUAUAUUGUCUAUAGAUUCAAGUUCCCACACACACGAUCUGAUAAAGGGUUGAACUACACAUCUAAGAG
rnacentral:lncRNA from 1 species